rnacentral:rRNA from 1 species
UACAGAGGUCCCAAGCGUUGUUCGGAUUCACUGGGCGUAAAGGGUGCGCAGGUGGGUUGGCAAGUUUGAUGUGAAAGCCCCGGGCUUAACCCGGGAAUGGCAUUGAAUACUGCUGAUCUGGAGGAUCGGAGGGGGUCUGGAAUUCUUGGUGUAGCAGUGAAAUGCGUAGAUAUCAAGAGGAACACCAGUGGCGAAGGCGAGUCCCUGGACGAUACCUGACACUGAGGCACGAAAGCCAAGGGAGCAAACAGG